rnacentral:rRNA from 1 species
AUUGAACGCUGGCGGCAGGCCUAACACAUGCAAGUCGAACGAGUGGCGGACGGGUGAGUAAUGUCUGGGAAACUGCCUGAUGGAGGGGUAUAACUACUGGAAACGGUAGCUAAUACCGCAUACCAUCGGAUGUGCCCCGAUGGGAUUAGCUAGUGGGUGGGGUAAAGGCUCACCUAGGCGACGAUCCCUAGCUGGUCUGAGAGGAUGACCAGCCACACUGGAACUGAGACACGGUCCAGACUCCUACGGGAGGCAGCAGUGGGGAAUAUUGCACAAUGGGCGCAAGCCUGAUGCAGCCAUGCCGCGUGUAUGAAGAAGGCCUUCGGGUUGUAAAGUACUGUCGGCGGGGAGGCGUUACCUGCAGAAGAAGCACCGGCUAACUACGUGCCAGCAGCCGCGGUAAUUC